UCAAAAGUAAUGAUGUCAAUGAA
rnacentral:siRNA from 1 species